CGUUUCAGAUUCACAUCAAACAACAGAAUUUUACAUUUCUCGCAAGAUGAGUUUGAAUUCGCCAAUCCAGAAUAGGGUGCAAAGAAGACAACUUUCAGCCGGUUUACUGGAUAAUAAGAAUAUUCCCGAUCAAGGGAACUCAUAUUUCUACCCUUCGGGUUAUGGGGUUUAUGACGACAGCAUUACCUUCCAGCAUAAACCACACCCUGACGAGGAUACGCAUCGAAAUUUCUACGAUUACAGCGAAGAAAUAUAUUUAAUCCCAAUGAAUCGCAAAGCAAACUAGGAUUUGAUUUAAUUAUUAUCAACAUUGUUAAAUACGUAUAUUUAGACUGAAUUUUUAAUCAAUAGACUGUAUUUUUAACUACA